GUUCGAGGCCAGCCUGGACUACAAAGUGAGCUCAAGGCUAGCCUGACCCCGGUCCUUCGCCUCUCAUUUUUCUUUUAACGCCUGUUCUUGGGGCUCCGCUCACCACCCAGGAUUGCAGACUGAAUCACUGGCCCCAGGGCUUGCCACGUACUACCUCGUUUAAUCCUCAAAGCAGCCACAUUAAGCAGAUAAUACUAGUGUUCCUUGUUCGUAUGAGGAAACUGAGGUACAACCCGCUGUGUAAAUGGCCGAUUGACCACAGCAGGCAAGGGUGUGAAUCCAGACACUCCGGUUUUUUAACCACAACGUUGCACUAGAGAUCUAGUAGUAGGCGACCAUCUAUUCUUUUCUCUUUACUGAUAAAGGAAGGCAGUCAACGUGAUUAUUUCAGUAAUGCUACCUAUUUUCUUCAGAUAAAUAUAUAAUUCCUUCUACCUUCAUGAUCGUCGAGACUCCAAAUUGCGUAUGACUUAUGGGAGAACAGGAAGGGGCAGUAUCUCUGAUUCUGCCCUUUCCCCACCACUGGUAAUAGUUAUUAUGAGGAUAUUGGUGGCUGUGUGCCCAAAGUAGGAAUACAGCGUGGUUUUGAACCUCGGUGUUAUUGACGUUUGGACCAGACUGUUUGUUGGGAGUAGAGGUUCUUUUCUCAGUAAAGGAAUUGCACUUCCCUGCCUCUUUGCAAUCUACUGACCUUGAAUACGGAUGAGGUCAUAUUUGAUGUCCUUUUACAUUUGGCUGGAAACCCAAGCCAACCUUUGGAAAUACAAGGUCUUAACUAGAACAGUGAUGCAGUAGACUUUGGCAUUUCCAUGUUUAGGAGAAUGGAAAUAGAGAUACUACAGCCACUUCUUCCUACCACCCUCAACACAGUCACCUAUUGCUGAUCCUAAGAGAGUUCCUCCAGAAGGCAAGAUGAAAUCAUUUGCUGUACCAUGGAGCAGAAUGAUAAAAGAAGGCAAGUAAUAAAAUGAUCAAAACUCCAAAUGUUUGGUCACCUAUUUGGUUGGCAUGCUGUGGUUAACAAGGAUGGCGCAUCGUGCCAUUGAGAAUGCAAAGUGCUACACAGAACCUAUGCAUGGGAAUUGGAUAAUCACUAACGAAAUUACACAUGCAUUUCCUUUUUGACACAAAAAUCCCAAUUCUAAGAAGCUAUUGCAAAAUACAAGACGACUUCUGCACAGGUUGUUCACUGCAGUACUAUUUGAAAUAGCAAAUGACUGGAGACCAUCCAUAUAACCAAAAGUCUGGAACUGGUUGAAUAAAUAAGGGUAGAUCUACAUUAUGAAACAUACUAUUUAACUCGGGGGAGAAAAAAGCAAGGGCCAUUUCUUUACAUGAUGUGGAGUGAUCUCCAGGAUACAUACUAGCUUUAAAACACACACUCACUCACAUGGUACAGAAAGUAUAGUAGACUUUUUGGUAAGAUAGGUGAACUAUGAAUAUAUAUUUGUCUAUAUUUGGGACAGGAAAAAUCAUGUAGAGGAGAUCAACAGGUAAGCUAGACUACUCUGAAUAAACAUUUUCUAUAUAUCAUGUAUAUGAUUUUAUAUAUAUAUGUAUUGCAUACUCAAAAUAAUUUUAAAUCUAAAAAAUGCAGUUCUUAAAAUUCAAAAAUAAACUGGACCAGUCUAACCACAUAUUAAGUUGAUAGCACAAUUACAUCAAGUAAAUAAU